UACGUAGGGGGCAAGCGUUGUCCGGAAUCAUUGGGCGUAAAGCGCGUGUAGGCGGCUGAGUAAGUCUGCUCUGAAAGCCCGGGGCUCAACCCCGGGAGGCGGGUGGAUACUGUCAAGCUCGAGUCCGGAAGAGGAGUGUGGAAUUCCUGGUGUAGCGGUGAAAUGCGCAGAUAUCAGGAGGAACACCAAUGGCGAAGGCAGCACUCUGGGACGUGACUGACGCUGAGACGCGAAAGCGUGGGGAGCAAACAGG
rnacentral:rRNA from 1 species